CAAGGCAGUUAAAAUGCUUUGUAAUUGGAAUGAUAGAAAUUUAAAAACUUUUUAAAGUAUCAAUUGGAGGGCAAGUCUGGUGCCAGCAGCCGCGGUAAUUCCAGCUCCAAUAGCGUAUAUUAAAAUUGUUGCAGUUAAAAAGCUCGUAGUUGAAUUUCUGCUAAAAAUAACCGGUCUGCUUUUAAUAAAGGUGGUAUCUUGGUGUGUUUUUAGCAAUAAUGUCCUUUGAAAUGUUUUUUACUUCAUUGUAAUAAAUUAUAUUUAGGAUUUUUACUUUGAGAAAAUUAGAGUGUUUCUAGCAGGCUAAUGCUUUGAAUACUGCAGCAUGGAAUAAUAAAAUAGGAUUUUGGUUCUACAUUAUUGGUUUUAAGAGCUAAAUUAAUGAUUGAUAGGGACAGUUGGGGGCAUUUGUAUUUAACUGUCAGAGGUGAAAUUCUUAGAUUUGUUAAAGACAAACUACUGCGAAAGCAU
rnacentral:rRNA from 1 species